rnacentral:rRNA from 1 species
GUGAAAUUGUUGAAAGGGAAACGAUUAAAGUCAGUCAUGUUGGUGAGGAAUCAACUUGAUGGUAUGCGAGUUUCUCGUAUCCUUUCUGGUGCACUUCCUUACUUACAGGUUAGCAUCAAUUUUGGUUAUCAUAAAAAAAUUGAGGGAAGGUGGCUUUUCUUCGGAGAAGUGUUAUAGACCGGGAUUGAGGAUUGCAGCGGAUACCCUUUUAGGGCUAGUCACUUGACUUCUGAUGGUUGCCCUGUCUUCGAUAGCUUGCUAACGUUGAUGGGAUUCGAUUAUCUAGUUGUUGGGCUGAUCAUAAAUUCGCUAAGGAUGCUGACGUAAUGGCUUUAAACGAC